UUUCACAAUGUCGGCCCCAAAAUUGAGAAUCUUUAUUUUUAGGUGUUUGCUUCCAUCUUUAAAACUCUGACAAGUAAUUGCAGAUGAGACCAAAGAUGUGGAGGAACUUGCUUGAAGCACAGAAGGAUGAAGAACUGCACCACUUGAUUCCUUAAAGAAUUGUUGCAUCCAAUAGCUGGCAGUUCCAUAUUGCUGCCAGGAGUUGAACACAAUGGCAUCUGGGUUGAAUCUGCGAUCAUUGUCAUUAACAAAAAGUGGUGCACAGCUUGCCAUUUCAACGACAUCACUGUUUUGCUCCAAACCAAUCAGAAACCCUGCUUCCGCUAAUGCUGCUAAAAGGCUUCCAGUGCCAGCAUCUUUUCCCGUCACAGCAUACUCGCUGAUAAAAGCCUUGGGACCUGUACGUGGUGUGUGGUCAAAUUGGUG
rnacentral:misc_RNA from 1 species